AUUGAACGCUGGCGGCAUGCCUAACACAUGCAAGUCGAACGGCAGCAUGGUAUGUAGCAAUACGUACUGAUGGCGAGUGGCGGACGGGUGAGUAAUACGUAGGAAUCUGCCCAGAAGAGGGGGACAACCCGAGGAAACUCGGGCUAAUACCGCAUAAAUUCUGAGGAAGAAAUGCUGGGCCAAGAGUAAAAUCUUGGGCUGGCGCUUUUGGAGGAGCCUACGUCCGAUUAGCUAGUUGGUGGGGUAAAAGCCUACCAAGGCGACGAUCGGUAGCUGGUCUGAGAGGAUGAUCAGCCGCACUGGGACUGAGACACGGCCCAGACUCCUACGGGAGGCAGCAGUGGGGAAUAUUGGACAAUGGGGGCAACCCUGAUCCAGCCAUGCCGCGUGUGUGAAGAAGGCCUUUUGGUUGUAAAGCACUUUAAGCGAGGAGGAGGCUCUCCUAGUUAAUACCUAGGAUGAGUGGACGUUACUCGCAGAAUAAGCACCGGCUAACUCUGUGCCAGCCGCCGCCGUAACAC
rnacentral:rRNA from 1 species